rnacentral:rRNA from 1 species
UACGUAGGGGGCUAGCGUUGUCCGGAAUCAUUGGGCGUAAAGCGCGCGUAGGCGGCCCGUUAAGUCCGCUGUGAAAGUCAAAGGCUCAACCUUUGAAUGUCAGCGGAUACUGCCGGGCUAGAGUCCGGAAGAGGCGAGUGGAAUUCCUGGUGUAGCGGUGGAAUGCGCAGAUAUCAGGAGGAACACCAACGGCGAAGGCAGCUCGCUGGGACGGUACUGACGCUGAUGCGCGAAAGCGUGGGGAGCAAACGGG